CCUACGGGGGGCAGCAGUGGGGAAUAUUGCACAAUGGGCGCAAGCCUGAUGCUGCCAUGCCGCGUGUGUGAAGAAGGCCUUCGGGUUGUAAAGCACUUUCAGCGGGGAGGAAGGCGUUAAGGUUAAUAACCUUGGCGAUUGACGUUACCCGCAGAAGAAGCACCGGCUAACUCCGUGCCAGCAGCCGCGGUAAUACGGAGGGUGCAAGCGUUAAUCGGAAUUACUGGGCGUAAAGCGCACGCAGGCGGUCUGUCAAGUCGGAUGUGAAAUCCCCGGGCUCAACCUGGGAACUGCAUUCGAAACUGGCAGGCUAGAGUCUUGUAGAGGGGGGUAGAAUUCCAGGUGUAGCGGUGAAAUGCGUAGAGAUCUGGAGGAAUACCGGUGGCGAAGGCGGCCCCCUGGACAAAGACUGACGCUCAGGUGCGAAAGCGUGGGGAGCAAACAGGAUUAGAUACCCCGGUAGUC
rnacentral:rRNA from 1 species